rnacentral:rRNA from 1 species
GACGAACGCUGGCGGCGUGCUUAACACAUGCAAGUCGAUCGGUGAAGCGCCUUCCUUUUUGGUGGGUGUGGAUGAGUGGCGAAACGGGUGAGUAACACGUGAGUAACCUGCCCCCUUCUUCUGGAUAACCGCAUGAAAGUGUGGCUAAUACGGGAUAUUCUGGGUCUGUCGCAUGAUGGGUCUGGGAAAGGUUUUUUUCUGGUGGGGGAUGGGCUCGCGGCCUAUCAGCUUGUUGGUGGGGUGAUGGCCUACCAAGGCGGUGACGGGUAGCCGGCCUGAGAGGGUGGACGGUCACACUGGGACUGAGACACGGCCCAGACUCCUACGGGAGGCAGCAGUGGGGAAUAUUGCACAAUGGGCGCAAGCCUGAUGCAGCGACGCCGCGUGAGGGAUGGAGGCCUUCGGGUUGUGA